rnacentral:lncRNA from 1 species
GGCCUCAAAAUACAAGAAUUCUAUAGAGAAGUGUUUUUUGAGAGAAGAAGUAAAGAAUGGAAGUGUAUGUUGAAUGGUGGAGGAUGGCCUCUAUUCAUUGGCAACCAGUUCACCGCCUAACCCUCUUGUUACAUGCAAGGCGCCCCAAAACCUUCUACAUGGGUUUGGUCCUUAGCCAAGUAGCUUAUUCAACUGCUUGUUGUUGACUCACCAAAGCUACUUGUGAGCUACUUGACCAGGUUAUUGUGGUCUAUUCUAAAAAGUGCUCAGAGGCCUUGUCAAGCGAGGUCAUACAUGAUGCCAUCAUUGCUUGGCGGCCAAGUCAAGUUGACAACUUGCUGCGUCCAGCCCGCCUGACUGCUUGGGUGGCACCGCUCAGCUGUAUGCUUGAGCAACUUGUCAUGCUCUAGCCAGGUGUGUGGUUCCAGACUGGGCGGUCCAGCUUGUGCCAAGCUUGAGUUGCCUACUUCAACAGGUUGGCUUGUGCCAAGCUUGAGUUUGACCGUGUCAAGCUUGUGUCUGAUCGAGUCAAGUUGGUGUCAGGUGAGUUGGGCGAUCCUGUUUGUCCACACCAGGGCUACUUAGUGAGCAUCUUCAUGUUUUUGGUCCAUGGUUUUGGCCAAGCACUUAGCUUGCCAUCUGUGCAUCAAAAGUGGCUUAUGUGGACACCUCCUUGCUUGACUAUUUUUCUGAUUUUUUCUUUUCUUUAAUUUUUCCUUAAAAACUUCACAUAAAGAUUUGGAAAAGAGGUGGACAAAAUAUACAAUUAAACUAUGAUAAUUU